rnacentral:rRNA from 1 species
CCUGGGGAGUACGGCCGCAAGGNUAAAACUCAAAUGAANUUGACGGGGGCCCGCACAAGCGGUGGANNCAUGNUGGUUUAAUUCGAUGCAACGCGAANAACCUUACCUGGNCUUGACNUNCACAGAACUUUCCAGAGAUGGAUUGGUGCCUUCGGGAACUGUGAGACAGGUGCUGCAUGGCUGUCGUCAGCUCGUGUUGUGAAAUGUUGGGUUAAGUCCCGCAACGAGCGCAACCCUUAUCCUUUGUUGCCAGCGGUCCGGCCGGGAACUCAAAGGAGACUGCCAGUGAUAAACUGGAGGAAGGUGGGGAUGACGUCAAGUCAUCAUGGCCCUUACGACCAGGGCUACACACGUGCUACAAUGGCGCAUACAAAGAGAAGCGACCUCGCGAGAGCAAGCGGACCUCAUAAAGUGCGUCGUAGUCCGGAUUGGAGUCUGCAACUCGACUCCAUGAAGUCGGAAUCGCUAGUAAUCGUAGAUCAGAAUGCUACGGUGAAUACGUUCCCGGGCCUUGUACACACCGCCCGUCACACCAUGGGAGUGGGUGCAAAAGAAGUAGGUAGCUUAACCUUCGGGAGGGCGCUACCACUUUGUCAUGCC